CAUGAAUAGAACAACCAUGAAAUACUUUGACCCGUUUCUUGAAAAUUCUGUCAAUGUUACAGGACAUUGAAUGCCUGUGUCAAUGUGGUUUCUGUGGCUAUAACUGCUCUUUUCUUCUUAGGUACAGGAAYCAAGUCAAUCAUUUUCACAUGUGUUGGAACCAAAUUCAACAAAGAAACGACACAAUUAGAUCACCAAUGUUCUGUGCUUUUCUAUUGCUGUUACUGGCAGGUCCUGCACACACUAGUGUGAGGGUAAACCAGUGGACGUCUAAAACUCGCUACACAUUGGGAGACAUAGCCAUUUUGCAUUGCAACAUAACCUCCGAUCAGGAAGUGAUAGAGAACUGUGAAAUGCAUUGGGUAAUCAUGGAUCUCAACAACAAAAACCGAACAAUAGAUGUCCUGAAGACAGAGUUGUWUAAGCAACGUGUAAACAUUGAGUCAAUUGAAAGCACCACUUCCAUGACAUUAACAAACCUGACCUUACAUGACAGAGAUAUGCCAAACUGUACAGCAGAGUGCUACAUUGAUGGACAAUAUAAAAGAUAUUUUGGGAUGGGUUCUGUUCAGAUUUUCGAAAGAGAUGGAAGUAAAGGAAGUCACCCAGGACAAGACAACUGUGGCUCCAAGUGAACUUAAAGAGGAGCCAUUUUACCCCUGGAUCAAAUAUCUACUGUUCUCUAGUAAUCUUCUAAUAUUCCUUGUAGCAACAGCUAUUUAUGUGUCUUACAUGCGAAACCAAAUGCAAAGGAAUUAAAGAACGAAUUGGCCGUGUUACUGCUGUAUGCAUCUCUCGUCCAGCACCAGAUCAAAUGUCACCUUUAUGAGAAUGUAUCAAAUUGAUAUAACAUGGCUUUGGCUAGUGUAAGUGUCCGGUGCUGGUGAUCGCGUGCCCGUUGGAGCCGRUUCUUCUUGUUUUCAGCGGAUAGGAGUGGAACCCGGUGUGGUCGCCUGCUGACAAGGACSGAUGAGUUGUGCAUUCCGAUARGCGACCGAUGAGUUGUGCAUUCCGAUACGCGACCGYUGAGUUGUGCAUUCCGAUACGCMGUUKUGCACACCACUGUUGUACUGCAGCGUUAUUUGCCUGUUUUUGGCCUUCAUGUUAGCUUGCACGAUUCUUGKCA